ensembl:lncRNA LINC01013 long intergenic non-protein coding RNA 1013
AGAUCUUCUUGGCUUAGCGGCUGAAGACUGACACUGCCCGAUUGCCUUGGAAGCCCCCUAAACCAUCACGGAUGCCGAGCUUCGGGUAACUCUCACAGUGGAAGGCAGCACCGAACCCCAGAGAGAGGCAAUGACCUUCCCAGGGGAUUUCUACAAAUUAAUAGAAAAACUGGAACUCCACUGCCCACUGCAGCACCACCAUGUCUUUCGGACAGUACCUCUUGCCACAUGACAGAGUCUUGCUCUGUUGCCAGAUUGGAGUGAAGUGGCGCGAUCUCAGCUCACUGCACCCUCUGACUCCCUGAUUCAAGUGAUGCUCCUGCCUCAGACUCCCAAGUAUUUCCUAUAUCUUCCUGUCUUUUCCAUGGCCAAAAAUGAUCAAGUAAAGAACAUUAAAGAAGAAAUAAAUUACUACAUAUUAAAAAAUACAUACUGUAAGAUGUUCUUUGUACAAAAAUGUGACAACUUCAAUAAGAGUAACUUGGACAACCUGAGGCAUUAAUUGAGGAUCAAUAUGAUGACUUUACAUUGAGAAUCACAUAUACCCUCUGAAUAAAUUUAAAAAAUGAAAUUUUUUAAUUUUCAUUAAAAAUUAAAUUUUUUUGAGUGAUGAAAAUACUCAAUCACAUUAUUUUCAAAUUGUUGAUAAGCAUGGAAAUUAUCAGAGAACCAGAAUAUUCAAGGUUUAUCUUUCCUGUUUUUGUCUUAAAUCACAACUAUGUGUUAAAUAAUUUGUAUGACCUAUUUCAGUGGCAGUAGGUUAAAUAAAAUUCUGUUUGUAUCUCC